UAUUUUGCUCUCCUUUUCAGUGAAAAUCGCUAGCUGCUCCUUUUCUGAAUCAUUAAAUUUUGAAUCUUUUGCUUUGGAUUAUCAAUUGUUUGCCUUUUACCCGUUGCUUCAUCUUGAUUCUCAGAUAUCAAAAGUAGACAUCAGCUGAAUUCAUAUGUGAAUGGGAUUUGUUGAGAUUUUUGGUACUGAUUCGAUGGGUAUCCAGAUCCCUAGUUCAUCUUGCAUAUCCAAGUAUCGAAGAUAUAGAGAUGAAUGGAUUCUCUGAACCCCAAACAGUUGUACCCAAAGUUGACACCUAGGUGUACUCAAACAUAACUAACCAUUGACCCUCCAUUAUUGUUAAAAAUCUAUUUUGUAUGUUGAAGUUGUACAAGUUAGGAAUAACUUUCUGUGUGGCUCUAUGAAAUGUAAAAUUUGACAUAACUGCUUGCUUGAUGAUAGUAUCAUCUUCAUCCCCAAACUUCCCUAACUUCCCUUUCUCGAUGUAACUCGAAUAUAUGGACAUUGUAUUUUGUCACUAUUUAAGAUUCUCCUUGCUUUACUAUCUAGCUGUUUAAAUGA